GAUGAACGCUGGCGGCGUGCUUAACACAUGCAAGUCGAACGGUGAACGAGGGAGCUUGCUCCCUCCGGAUCAGUGGCGAACGGGUGAGUAACACGUGAGCAAUCUGCCCUGGACUCUGGGAUAAGCGUUGGAAACGACGUCUAAUACCGGAUACGAGGCGUGGGGGCAUCCCCAACGCCUGGAAAGAACUUCGGUCCAGGAUGAGCUCGCGGCCUAUCAGCUUGUUGGUGAGGUAACGGCUCACCAAGGCGACGACGGGUAGCCGGCCUGAGAGGGUGACCGGCCACACUGGGACUGAGACACGGCCCAGACUCCUACGGGAGGCAGCAGUGGGGAAUAUUGCACAAUGGGCGCAAGCCUGAUGCAGCAACGCCGCGUGAGGGACGACGGCCUUCGGGUUGUAAACCUCUUUUAGCAGGGAAGAAGCGAAAGUGACGGUACCUGCAGAAAAAGCACCGGCUAACUACGUGCCAGCAGCCGCCGUAAAAC
rnacentral:rRNA from 1 species